GGGGGAGCGGGUUCUCCGGCCCCGCCGCCGCAUCCCCGCCGCAGCGGAAGCCGCACCCCCCCCCCCCCCCGCCGCCGCCGGGGCCCGGCCCGGGCGCUGCCCCCCCGGCGCAUCCCGCCCCCCCCGCCGCGCCCCUGAUUGGCGCCGGCGGCCCCGGCUCCCCCCCCCCCCCACCGCCGUGCCCCUCUUUCCCCGUCCCGCAGCCGCCAUGAACCCGCUCUUCGGCCCCAACCUCUUCCUCCUGCCGCAGGAGCAGCAGGGGCUGCCGGGCCCCGACCUGCCGCCGCCGCCCGCCCCGCGCCCCGCCGAGCCCCUGGGGGGGGAGCUGGCCGCCCCGCCGCCCGCCAGCCCCUUCCCCGCGCCGCCCGCCGCCAUGGCCCUCCGCAACGACCUGGGCUCCAACAUCAGCGUCCUGAAGACGCUGAACCUGCGGUUCCGCUGCUUCCUGGCCAAGGUCCACGAGCUGGAGCGGCGCAACCGGCAGCUGGAGAAGCAGCUGCAGCAGGCGCUGGAGGAGGGGGGCGGCGGGGGGAGCCGGGGCCGGGGACCCCCGCGCCGCGACCAGGCGGUGCAGACCGGCUUCGUGGGCCCCAUCCGCACCCUGGGGCUGGGGCUGGGGCUGGGGCUGGCGCCGGCCCGGUCGCCGGCUUCCCCCGGCUGCCGCCCCGGCGCCCCCGGCCCGGCGCCUCCUCCUCCCUUCCCGGCCGCUUCCCGCUUCAUGCCCGGCACCAUCUGGUCCUUCUCGCAAGCCCGACGGCUCGGCCCCGGGCCGGAGACCACCCUGGUGCAGGGACCGGGGGUCUCCUGGGUCCACCCGGACGGGGUGGGCGUGCAGAUCGACACCAUCACCCCGGAGAUCCGGGCCCUCUACAACGUGCUGGCCAAGGUGAAGAGGGAGCGCGACGAGUACAAGCGCAGAUGGGAAGAGGAGUACACGGUGCGCGUUCAGCUUCAGGACCGGGUGACUGAGCUGCAGGAGGAAGCCCAGGAGGCUGAAGCCUGCCAGGAGGAACUGGCCAUGAAGGUGGAGCAGCUCAAGGCCGAGCUGGUUGUCUUCAAGGGACUGAUGAGCAACAACAUCACGGAGCUGGACACCAAGAUCCAGGAGAAGGCCAUGAAGGUGGACAUGGACAUCUGCCGGCGCAUCGACAUCACUGCCAAGCUGUGCGAUGUGGCACAGCAGCGGAACUGCGAGGACAUGAUCAAGAUGUUUCAGAAGCAACUGUCUCUGCACUUGUCUCCCGUUAAGGUCCCAGCCUCGGUGGGGCGGAAGCGGGAGCGCAAGCAGGUCAGCGACGAAGACACGUCACUGUCGGAGAGCGAUGCCUCCCGAAAACCCGAAGAGGAAGAGGAGGAUGAGACCACAGCCAUGAGUAUCAAUGAGGAAAUGCAGAGGAUGCUGAACCAGCUGAGGGAGUAUGACUUUGAGGAUGACUGCGACAGCCUCACGUGGGAGGAGACAGAAGAAACGCUGCUUCUCUGGGAGGACUUCUCUGGAUACGCCAUUGCAGCCGCAGAGGUGCAGGGGGAGCAGGAUGACAGCCUGGAGAAGGUGAUCAAGGACACAGAGUCACUGUUCAAGAGCCGUGAGAAGGAGUACCAGGAAACCAUCGACCAAAUAGAGCUGGAGCUGGCCACAGCCAAGAACGACAUGAACCGGCACCUGCACGAGUACAUGGAAAUGUGCAGCAUGAAGCGAGGCUUGGAUGUGCAGAUGGAGACUUGCCGGCGGCUCAUCACCCAGUCUGGGGACAGGAAGUCUCCUGCCUUCACCCCAGCCUCCAACAGCGAGUCAGCCCCGAACGAGGAGAGCGAGGAGUCUGACCGUGACCCCCCCAGCGACGCUUCCAUCAGAUAAUGAGGGGAGGCCCCGCUCCCUUGGACCCCCUUCCUGGCACGGGGGUGCCUGAUCUGCACCUGGGAGAGACUGUCAGGGACGUGGAGCCACUGGACCGUCCACUGAGCAGUGGACCCAGGCUGCACAGCCAAGGCGAGUGAAGCUCCAGAGAAAAACGCUUCUCUCAAAAGAUCCUGAAGGGAAGAAGAGAAAGCAGGUGGCAGUACAGUUUUUGGAUCAUCCCUGAGAUUAGGUGAAGUAGAUAAAAUAGGGGCCGAGGGGUGCAACAGUUUAUCUCCCUAUGCUGGCUUGGGUAGCUAGCGCUGCUGUGUACUUGAGCUGCAAGCACCAGCGUGCCCAGUGGGGAGGGGGUCGGCGUUUGGGCAGGGUGAGGUCCUCUGCCUGUGCCCACAAGAUGUGUUAAGGCACGUGCUGGCGUUUCAGCGUGGGCUCAGCUGGCUGCCCAGAGCUGGGAGGGAGGCGAGUCCCUGCAAAUGGCAGGAGAAGUCAGCAGCUGAGGAAACCUCCAGGCCAGGGCACGGCGGGGGCACUGCCGCUGGUGCCAGAAAAUGGCAGUUCCUCCCCCGAUAGCCUGCUGGGGCUGGACCCUUGACUGGUGAGUGCCAUCCUUGCCUCUCGGGGGGAAGCGGGGAGAGCGUCUCCCGGGAGCAGCGGAGGUGUGCUCCCCCCACCCUGGCUUUGUGCGGCUGUUGGGGCAGACGGGACGUGUGUACCUCGGGGCCUGCCUCGAGACAGGGACUUCGUCGCGGGCCUCGCCUCCAUGCCACCUUGCCCAACCCUUGCUGUUGCUUUCCUUUUUAUUUUUCUUCCUAAAAGAGCUAAAGCCAGAGGAAGUAUGUUAAUCUGGGCUUUUUCUUUCGAGUGAUGAUGCCUCACAUGCAGUAGAUCAGGGAUCGCUUUCUAUCCUGCCUGGAGGCUCUUCUGAUUUAUGCAAAUCCCUUUCCCAUACAUGUCUUUGCAGCAUUUUCUGCUCUUUCGCUGAUGCAGAAAUCUCCAUGAGUGGCUAGCUAAGUCUGGCUUCCCCGAGUGCAUAGUCCAUGACAUGCGUGCCUUGGCCUCUUGGUACUGCUUAAAAAACCCACAGGACUGUACAGCGUGUACGCUGAGAGAUUUCAAGGACGGAGAGCGGAAGGACCAAUAUCUCAGUCUGGAGCAGUCAUUGCUCAGGAGAGCAGCCACACACCUGUGUACCGGGACACGUGGGGAAUCGCAGUCCCACACUGCUUGUCAGAACUUCAUUUGCAGUGAAACUGAGAUCUCUUCCCCCACCCAUGUGUGCAAGAUGCCGUUCUCUGGUGAAUUGUAUCACCAGCAAUAGCUUCCAGUCCCCCACCAGUGUGACAGCCCCUGAGACCUCACUUGUAGGACGUGCAACGCUGAUCCUUUGCCUCAGCAAUGUCUCAGCGUGGGAAGCACAACCCAAAGCCUCCAGUGUUAGCCAGGCCGUCUGCCCUGAAUAUGAGGAGAUGCGGACCUUCAAUCUAUUUAACUCUUCUCUGUGGGCUCCUUCCCAUUCUUUGGGGAGCAUCUAGCCUGUUUUUCUCCACCAUGAGCCCUGGUGGGAACUGUAGUGUCUAGGAACUGCACUUCUCUCAUUGUUGCUUCUUGUGUCCCUAACCUUUUCCAGGACACCUCUCGGCAGCGUCUGCUCGGGAAGCAGUAUCAGAAGAAAUUGUCUAGCGAAGACCCAAGUCUUGGCUGCUUGAUCUUUCUGAACACCUGCCGGUCCACAUUCAUCUCAGAGGCAACAAUCAUAUCUCAUUUACGCUUAGACCCCAGCCCAUUCAAAAAUCUUUGUUUGGCCUAAACUUUCUGCAGGACUUGGUUGCAGGGGCAGCUUGGCCAUGGAUGGAGUGGGCCUUUUCCUAUUCUUGACCAAGAUAAUGAAUUGAUGAAAUGAACUUUGGAGGAACAGGUCAGUUACUCUUUCCAGCUGACCAUGCUCACCUGUGAGCAUGUUGCAGCUGAGUCUAGUCUGGUUCUUAGCACACCAGAGCAGAUCUUGGCAUGCAGGGGACACAGUCCUAUCUCACGCAGGGUCCACGUGUUAAUGUGAAUGUUUGUUGCCCAACUGAAUGGGGUUCCAUGGCAUCUGGGAAGUCCCUCUCUCAGCAUCCCUCUUGGGACUGUGGCUGCUGUUUCGUGGCCUCCGUGAACACUUGUCCAAGACAAUCCUUUUAGGAUAAUGUCUCCCUGGAUUGGCAGGGAGGUCCUCCCCUAUGUAGGCAUGCUGGCUCAGCUCCCCCACCCUACAGAAGUCCACGUUGGUUGAGAUUUACUCAGGCAGUCUGGAAACAUGCUAGUGAUUGCUCUGACCCGCUUGUGAGCAUCCUGCCUCCAUGAGGUGCUGAGGGACACAGUCAGCCUGUGAGCUGGGGUGAGAGAUGCAGCUCUCUGCUAGGGCCACUGUGCUGUGUAUUCCCUGCGCUGAGAUCAGCCUCUCAACGAGGGGCUUCAACAGUGUCAGGAAUUUUGCAGAAGUGAGCCCUGCCUCCCUGCUGAAUGUGUUUCUGAUCCUGUGGCAUGCAGAAUGGCCUUCCCCCUGCGAAGUUCCCUAGGACUCAUCUGAAAGGUGAGCUCUCAUCCUCAGAGACCCUGUCUGGCAAAGUAGCUCUGAGACCACGUACACUGAGUUUCUUGAUGAAGACUACUAGAUUUCCCCACGGAGAGGGUGGGGAGCAUCUCCCCCCUUGCACCUUACCACAUAGUUGUGGGAUGUUCUUACUGGCUCUAGAGAGGGUUCAGUUAACCUAGCCACUAAGUAGCCUAGAUCUUCUUCCCUGUGUUAAAAAAGCCCACUCCCUGCCUUUGCCUUUUCCUGGAUCCCAUUUAUUUUACAUUGUAUUUAAGAACUGAAAGAGUUACUUGUCUGUCCGUUCAGUUAAGGUCCUGUAUUUUCUACCCAGCACUGUUCUGCUGAAGGUGCUUUGUCACCUGUCCCACACAACUCAGCUUCGUGUGAGUUAGCUUUUCCUCAUUUGAGGAUUCCUUAGAUGGACCUAAAUGUGAUGCUCACAGCCUUCACUGGAGCAAAUUUUGAUUCCCUGGUAACCUGUUUAUUAUUCUGUUUAACUUGUUUCUUAGCCAAGAGGUAGGAGAGAUCAAAGCUGCGUAGAAAGUUAUUCUUGUUUCUAGAUGUGAGCUGGGAGAUUGGCUUUCCUAAACCUCAUACUUCUGCUACAAGAGCGUCAUUUGUUUUGGAGAAGACCAUGCUCUUUAUAGGUUUAUGGUUGUUGCUAUCGGGUACCUGUGCCAUGGUGUCCUAGAACUUGCACAUAAUGAUCAAAUACUCUGGUUACAGAUAAUAAACCUCCUUUUGAGAGGAGAGGUCAGAAUUAACACAGAACACGGUGGAGUGCUGUCUCCUUGGAGGUGUACCUGGAUGAUGCACGGGCAGGCUCCUGAAACCAUCCAGCAAGCCCUAUACGUGGUGAUCGAUGCUGGGAGUGAUAGUAAGACAACUUGGAAAGCUGGAUGGGCUACAGACGGCUUUAGGGAAGCCCAGUCACCAUUGAAAAUCUACUGGAUGUACGAGACUGUGAGAGGUGUUUUAGGUGUGAGUUUUCUAAAUGCUUGGGCCACUUUCUUUUGGGAUGGGAACGAGGAGAGGAUGAUGUAGGCCCUCUGGUAGAGGGGGGUAUAGAUUUCAUAGCUUGGAGAGCAGCUGUAAGAGCUGGGAAGGUACUAAGGUAACUGUGGAAAAGGAGCUCAAGCGGUCCCCGAAAGGCAUCGUGAUCAAGCUGAACGCAACAGAUGAGAAGAGGCAACGUUUUCAGCUUCAACAGCAGACUGCAUCUGGGCAAGGUGCACGAGGAAAUAGAAAUCCUCAAGGUAGGAAGAAAUGUGGUUAACUGAUAUUUUUAAUGUUCGUGGCCACAUCGAAGAACUGCUACCUCACCCGUCUAACCCACUGGGUAAAGGUGGAAUAGGCAAGGGCAAUUGUGAAUUGGGGUUGCAAGAUGUGCUAAAAAGCACAUUCACUCUAGAGCUAAGGGCCAAGCAACAUGCUCUGGCACACAAUUUCAUCAAGGCAUUGAAGGGUCUUUUAUAUACUCCUGAAUCCCCAAAGAAAAAAAACAGUGAUUUAUUUUAUAACCUCUCUGCUUUGUGUGAAAAUUACGUUGUCAUGGGAGGUUUUGGCUGGGGAUACUGAAGAAUAUGCUGUGCCAGGGAGAGUUUCUCGUCAACCUGCAAAUGAUGGCAUGGCCAAGUUAAGGUAGUGACUUUAGAUGUCCGUACGACAGAUGAAGACUGGGUUAGGAUUGACAGUUGCCUAAAGAAAAGGCAUCAACUGAGAAACAAAGCAAGAUAGCACCCCGGACAUAACUGCAUGGUGCUCUGUAGCCUUUUCUUACAGUGAAAUUGUUCAGGGGAAGUAUUUAAAAAGUAUGAUUAAGUGGGAGAUCUGUGGAAAGAGUUUUUCCAGUUACCCAAAAACCUGUGAUUCAGUACACGUGAGAAGACAGCUUUCAGUAAACUAGUUCCUUGAAUAAGUGACCAUGUGACAAUAGUACUCAGAAAUAAGAAUAACUAAUAAAAAUAAUAAUGAA